rnacentral:rRNA from 2 species
CCAGCCGCCUAAGGUGGGACAGAUGAUUGGGGUGAAGUCGUAACAAGGUAGCCGUAUCGGAAGGUGCGGCUGGAUCACCUCCUUUCUAAGGAA